GCCUGCAAAUCGAAAUCACCCGGAAUGCGGUCAAUCUCGUCAGAUCUCGCAAGCCAAGCAGAACUCAGCCUGCCUAAUAUUUGGAUGGGAGAUCGCCUGGCAAUAGCGGGUGCUGUAGGCU
rnacentral:rRNA from 1 species